rnacentral:rRNA from 1 species
ACUCCUACGGGAGGCAGCAGUGGGGAAUAUUGCACAAUGGGCGAAAGCCUGAUGCAGCGACGCCGCGUGCGGGAUGAAGGCCUUCGGGUUGUAAACCGCUUUCAGCAGGGACGAGGCCGCAAGGUGACGGUACCUGCAGAAGAAGCCCCGGCUAACUACGUGCCAGCAGCCGCGGUAAU